CAGACACAUAUAUAGUCUCUGGCGUGUCAGCUGUAAUUAGCGAAGUGACUGAGUAAUAGCUUGGAAUACGCAGAAACAGCGCUGGCGCAAUCAAAAGUGUCAGAUAAUUUAAGGUGGAACGGAAGGUCGCUGUUGAUACUGUCAUUAUGUUCAGCGGGGAUUAUACUUAAGUACUGUUGCUGGGCGUCAUGGUGGCAAAGACGAAAAAGGCAAAGUGUGCACAUUACACGGGAGUGAUGAGCAUUAAAAUUUGCGAACAAAAUGCUAUGCAGAUAAGGACAAAAUAAGGCGCUCUCAUAAACGAGCCGCGCUUUCUUGAAAAUUGGAUAAGCGCCGCUGAAUGAUUGUCAUACAUCAGUUUGAGAGUAAAUCAAUGACUGUUGCACGUCAAAAGACGUGAAAAACGGAACAAUUUCUGUGGAGUAGCACCAUCAUGAUAUAAAUGUUCCAUAACGCUCUAACAUUUUUCAGCUUUCUGCUUAACGUACUGCACUGUUUACAACAUGAUAAGUAGUGCUGACAGCAUGUAAACCACAUCCUGAUGCACCUCACCUCAGAGUUGUUUGUGGAAGUAUAAGGACAAACACAUGAAUCCCUAAUAUUUCCAGAUCUUCUAAGGGUAAUUCUCUGCCAUAAAAGGCUUUGAAAGGAGUUUUACCUCUCACAGGACUUGGACCAGGUUCUUAUGGGUGGUGAAUGUAUGGUCGCUAAGAAGUGACAUAGGAGCCAUUCUCAUGCUGCCAUAGUAGCAGGUGUACAUGACUCAUAGGCUAAGACACAAGUGGUGGCUUCUUUUACGGUCUCUGGCUCCAUUACUGCGGGCUGUAUAGCAACGAAUGUUAUCGUGCAUUAACUUGUGACGUUACAAGAGCUGAGUGGGGGCAUGCUGCUGCCUGAAAUGAAAUCUCAUAAGAGUAAGCCUGUUGCUCCAGCCCGGAGAUGAGGAGUUACUAGACACAGUCUACAUGUGAAUAUGGAAAGUCUAUAUCUGAGCAUCACAUAAUCACAGAGUUAUAAAAGUUAAAUAUAAAAGAUUGUACUACAACAUCUUACUCAUGAAGAACUAAUAUAGGUAAAGGAAAGGUUUUUACCCAUAUUAAGAUGGAGCACACACUCAAAAACAUUGAAAGAAGUAUAUUUUCUUGUGAUAAGUAUGUUUAAGUGUCUACUUCUGAAUUAAUGGUGAAAAACAGUCACUUUGAAUUUCAGCUGCAUGUAGAUCCUUACUGGGAGAUUUUGAAGUGUUUAUGAGGCAGUUAAUAGUCUGUGGCGGUUCAUCCUGAGACACAGCAGAGUUAUAAACCAUAUAAAGCUAUUUCUCACAGCUACGAUGGCGCAGCUGUAGUGAGUGUUCAAUGCCCAGGUGUAGAGACUCUUCUGCAAGAGGCUUUUAAACAUUCUAGUUUCAUUCAUUGUUGUGUACAUAAGUUGAACCUGAUAUUAGCCCAAGCAGUGAGUCAGAUUACGGACAAUAGAAUUUUUUUGCUUGCUUUAGUGAGAAUCUCUGUUUUUCCAUAGUUCCUAAUAAAUAGAAAUGUUAAUUGACAUAGCAAACAGCCCUCCAUGUUUCCAACAUGAAAAGGAAUUUUAAAUCAAGAACUAUGGCCCUUGUUGCACAAACCGCACUGUGCUGCUGAGUUUUCAUAAUGUCAUACUUCACAUGACUAGGUUGAUAUGGUAAAAUUUAAAGACUGAUUUGAAUAAUUUUUCCACCCACAUGCCAGUUGCCUAGAAGGUAUCAGUUUUCUUCUAGGAACAAUUUACUGUGUCACUUCAGUACAGAAAUUCUCAGGCUCUAUAGUGUUCACAGUAUAAAAUUUAUUUCUAUGCCACCAAAUGCAACAAAUCUUUGUCAGCAUCUAGAUGUUUACUUCAGGCCUAUGAAAAUGGCACGGAGGAAGAUUUUAAACAGGUACAGGACUAUCAGUGGGCUACCUUGAUUAUAAAUAAAAAAGAAAAAAGAUGUUCCUCAUUUGUCAGCUGAGUCUUGAAAAUUAUGGAUGGUGAUCCUCCAAAAAUGUGGGUGAAAGGUGCAGUCUUAUUGCUGGCUUUUCAGUGUAUGAUGUGAAGUCAUUUAACAUUUGUAACUAUAAACAUAUUUGUUUUUUUUUCAUUUUUAAUUUUGACUACUGUUUCUUCAAUAUAAUUAAAAUAAAAAAUGUAUAGUGAUUUGUUGUUUUAAUUUGUCAUACUCCACAUAAAUGUUUCAUCCAGUCUCAAAAAUGGCUGAACAACUUUUCUUGAGAUCUAAAAGAAUUGUUUUUGGUUGCAAAAUAAGACAAAAUACUUCUAUAUUGUUAGUCAGAUAUGGCACAUUGACUCGUAAUAUAUUUUGUUACCACUUUGUAACUGAACUUGAUGACCUGUGUCAGAAUAACAGUGUACUUCACUUGUAGAAAAGUUAUAACUUUGUUUGGAAUAAUUGUAAUUUAUUUUUGUAUUGUUUUAUACCUAUGUUUUACUUUAGGAAGUGCCUAAACUUGAAAUUGUUAGCAUAUUUUGUUCCUUUACACAUAUUGCAAUUUGCAUCUUUUAGCAUGUAUAAGUAGGCUACUGUUCUCAUGUAUAAUUAUGUCUCAUUCCACAUCCAUACAAUUCUCUUGUAUACUGGAUCUA